AUUGAACGCUGGCGGCAGGCCUAACACAUGCAAGUCGAACGGUAACAGGGAUCAGCUUGCUGAUUCGCUGACGAGUGGCGGACGGGUGAGUAAUGUCUGGGAAACUGCCUGAUGGAGGGGGAUAACUACUGGAAACGGUAGCUAAUACCGCAUAACGUCGCAAGACCAAAGAGGGGGACCUUCGGGCCUCUUGCCAUCGGAUGUGCCCAGAUGGGAUUAGCUAGUAGGUGGGGUAACGGCUCACCUGGGCGACGAUCCCUAGCUGGUCUGAGAGGAUGACCAGCCACACUGGAACUGAGACACGGUCCAGACUCCUACGGGAGGCAGCAGUGGGGAAUAUUGAACAAUGGGCGCAAGUCUGAUGCAGCCAUGCCGCGUGUAUGAAGAAGGACUUCGGGUUGUAAAGUACUUUCAGCGGGGAGGAAGGGAGUAAAGUUAAUACCUUUGCUCAUUGACGUUACCCGCAGAAGAAGCACCGGCUAACUCCGUG
rnacentral:rRNA from 1 species